rnacentral:ncRNA from 197 species
CCUGCGGAAGGAUCAUUG